rnacentral:rRNA from 1 species
GACGAACGCUGGCGGCGUGCUUAACACAUGCAAGUCGAACGGAAAGGCCCAGCUUGCUGGGUGCUCGAGUGGCGAACGGGUGAGUAACACGUGGGUGAUCUGCCCCUAACUUCGGGAUAAGCUUGGGAAACUGGGUCUAAUACCGGAUAGGACAAUCGUUUAGUGUCGGUUGUGGAAAGUUUUUUCGGUUGGGGAUGAGCCCGCGGCCUAUCAGCUUGUUGGUGGGGUAAUGGCCUACCAAGGCGUCGACGGGUAGCCGGCCUGAGAGGGUGGACGGCCACAUUGGGACUGAGAUACGGCCCAGACUCCUACGGGAGGCAGCAGUGGGGAAUAUUGCACAAUGGGCGCAAGCCUGAUGCAGCGACGCCGCGUGGGGGAUGACGGCCUUCGGGUUGUAAACCUCUUUCGACAGGGACGAAGCUUUGGUGACGGUACCUGUAUAAGAAGCACCGGCUAACUACGUG